rnacentral:rRNA from 1 species
UACGUAGGGGGCAAGCGUUGUCCGGAUUUAUUGGGCGUAAAGAGCGUGUAGGCGGCCAUACAGGUCAGCUGUGAAAACUCGAGGCUCAACCUCGAGACGUCGGUUGAAACCGUAUGGCUAGAGUCCGGAAGAGGAGAGUGGAAUUCCCGGUGUAGCAGUGAAAUGCGCAGAUAUCGGGAAGAACACCCGUGGCGAAGGCGGCUCUCUGGGACGGUACUGACGCUGAGACGCGAAAGCCAGGGGAGCGAACGGG